rnacentral:tRNA from 1 species
GCUCAUGUAAUGUAGUCAGGCCAAGCAUGCCAGGAUUUCAACCUGGAAACCCGAGUUCAAAUCUCGGCAUGAGCU